rnacentral:rRNA from 1 species
AGGAAUAUUGGUCAAUGGGCGCAGGCCUGAACCAGCCAAGUAGCGUGAAGGAUGACUGCCCUAUGGGUUGUAAACUUCUUUUAUAAAGGAAUAAAGUCGGGUAUGUAUACCCGUUUGCAUGUACUUUAUGAAUAAGGAUCGGCUAACUCCGUGCCAGCAGCCGCGGUAAUACGGAGGAUCCGAGCGUUAUCCGGAUUUAUUGGGUUUAAAGGGAGCGUAGAUGGAUGUUUAAGUCAGUUGUGAAAGUUUGCGGCUCAACCGUAAAAUUGCAGUUGAUACUGGCGUCCUUGAGUACGGUUGAGGCAGGCGGAAUUCGUGGUGUAGCGGUGAAAUGCUUAGAUAUCACGAAGAACCCCGAUUGCGAAGGCAGCCUGCUAAACCGCCACUGACGUUGAGGCUCGAAAGUGUGGGUAUCAAACAGGAUUAGAUACCCUGGUAGUCCACACGGUAAACGAUGGAUACUCGCUGUUGGCGAUAGACUGUCAGCGGCUUAGCGAAAGCGUUAAGUAUCCCACCUGGGGAGUACGCCGGCAACGGUGAAACUCAAAGGAAUUGACGGGGGCCCGCACAAGCGGAGGAACAUGUGGUUUAAUUCGAUGAUACGCGAGGAACCUUACCCGGGCUUGAAUUGCAGACGAAUUGCUUGGAAACAGGCAAGCCGCAAGGCGUCUGUGAAGGUGCUGCAUGGUUGUCGUCAGCUCGUGCCGUGAGGUGUCGGCUUAAGUGCCAUAACGAGCGCAACCCUCGUGUCCAGUUACUAGCAGGUUAUGCUGAGGACUCUGGACAGACUGCCAUCGUAAGAUGUGAGGAAGGUGGGGAUGACGUCAAAUCAGCACGGCCCUUACGUCCGGGGCUACACACGUGUUACAAUGGGGGGUACAGCAGGCAGCUACCGGGCGACCGGAUGCCAAUCCCGAAAGCCUCUCUCAGUUCGGACUGGAGUCUGCAACCCGACUCCACGAAGCUGGAUUCGCUAGUAAUCGCGCAUCAGCCACGGCGCGGUGAAUACGUUCCCG